AGAGUUUGAUCAUGGCUCAGAUUGAACGCUGGCGGCAGGCUUAACACAUGCAAGUCGAGCGGGAAUAGGUAGCUUGCUACCGAUUUCUAGCGGCGGACGGGUGAGUAAUGCUUAGGAAUCUGCCUAUUAGUGGGGGACAACGUUUCGAAAGGAACGCUAAUACCGCAUACGUCCUACGGGAGAAAGCAGGGGACCUUCGGGCCUUGCGCUAAUAGAUGAGCCUAAGUCGGAUUAGCUAGUUGGUGGGGUAAAGGCCUACCAAGGCGACGAUCUGUAGCGGGUCUGAGAGGAUGAUCCGCCACACUGGGACUGAGACACGGCCCAGACUCCUACGGGAGGCAGCAGUGGGGAAUAUUGGACAAUGGGCGAAAGCCUGAUCCAGCCAUGCCGCGUGUGUGAAGAAGGCCUUUUGGUUGUAAAGCACUUUAAGCGAGGAGGAGGCUACCUAGAUUAAUACUCUAGGAUAGUGGACGUUACUCGCAGAAUAAGCACCGGCUAACUCUGUGCCAGCAGCCGCGGUAAUACAGAGGGUGCGAGCGUUAAUCGGAUUUACUGGGCGUAAGCGUGCGUAGGCGGCUGAUUAAGUCGGAUGUGAAAUCCCUGAGCUUAACUUAGGAAUUGCAUUCGAUACUGGUCAGCUAGAGUAUGGGAGAGGAUGGUAGAAUUCCAGGUGUAGCGGUGAAAUGCGUAGAGAUCUGGAGGAAUACCGAUGGCGAAGGCAGCCAUCUGGCCUAAUACUGACGCUGAGGUACGAAAGCAUGGGGAGCAAACAGGAUUAGAUACCCUGGUAGUCC
rnacentral:rRNA from 1 species